rnacentral:rRNA from 1 species
CCUACGGGAGGCAGCAGUGGGGAAUAUUGGGCAAUGGGCGCAAGCCUGACCCAGCAACGCCGCGUGAAGGAUGAAGGCUUUCGGGUUGUAAACUUCUUUUCUCAGGGACGAAAAAAGUGACGGUACCUUAGGAAUAAGCCACGGCUAACUACGUGCCAGCAGCCGCGUGAAUACGUAGGUGGCAAGCGUUAAACGGAUUUAUUGGUGUUAAAGGGCGUGUAGGCUGGAGUGCAAGUCAGAGGUGAAAACUUAGGGCGUAACCCUGACACUGCAUUUGAAACUGUGUGUCUUGAGUGCUAGAGAGGUAAGCGGAAUUCGGUGUGUAGCGGUGAAAUGCGUAGAUAGACGGAAGAACACCAGUGGCGAAGGCGGAUUGCUGGAUAGUAACUGACGCUGAGGCGCGAAAGCGUGGGGAGCAAACAGGAUUAGAUACCCUGGUAGUC